CCAGCCGUGACCCUGACCCGGCUCCCCCCAAGAGGGCCCAAGCAGCAAUGCGGCGGGCACUCACCGAAACCCUAGUAUCAGAGGUGGGAGUAUGAACAGAGGAUAGACGUAGGUCUUUGGUAGAGCAUAGGGGCCUAGACGGGACAUACUUGUGUAUUAAGGAGGAUAAAUAGGUGGGAGCAGCAUUAUGUAGAGAUUUGAAAGCAAGAACCAGAAUUUUUAAUUGAGCCCUAUAUCUUACGAGAAGCAAAUGCAGGGACUGACAGAGGGUUGAGACGUGGAAGGUAGGGGCGGACAGGAAGAUGAGCCUUGCCGCCGCAUUCAUGAUAGACUUUAACAGGGCAAUUUGUGAGCACGUUGGACCACUGAGAAUUGUAUUGCAGUAGUCAAGGUGAGAGACGACACUGACGUGGACCAGCACCUAGCCGCAUCUGGCGUUAAGUAGGGGAGGAUGCGCGCUAUGUUUUUGAGAUGGAAGCAGCAGGAUUUGGUGAUCGACUGGACAUGAGGGGUGCAGAAGAGGUUGUAGUCAAAAAGAACACCAAAGGAAGAGAGCAUGGGUGUUGGAGCUGAUGGUAGCGUUAUUAAUAGGUUGAGUUUAAGAAAGUGGGCAGCAAUCCAAUUAGAAAUAGCAGAGAGGCAGUCAUAAACACUAUAUAAGAGGGGCGGGGAGAGAUCAGGAGAUGACAGUUAGAUUUGCAUGUCAUCGGCAUAGAAAUAAUAGUGGAAACCAAAGGAGCUGGUGGGUUUACCAAGAGAGGCAGUAUAGAUUGAGAACAGUAGGGGACACCAACA